GACGAACGCUGGCGGCGUGCUUAACACAUGCAAGUCGAACGGAAAGGCCCUGCUUGCAGGGUACUCGAGUGGCGAACGGGUGAGUAACACGUGGGUGAUCUGCCCUGCACUUCGGGAUAAGCCUGGGAAACUGGGUCUAAUACCGGAUAGGAGCCAUUUUUAGUGUGAUGGUUGGAAAGUUUUUUCGGUGUAAGAUGAGCUCGCGGCCUAUCAGCUUGUUGGUGGGGUAAUGGCCUACCAAGGCGGCGACGGGUAGCCGGCCUGAGAGGGUGGACGGCCACAUUGGGACUGAGAUACGGCCCAGACUCCUACGGGAGGCAGCAGUGGGGAAUAUUGCACAAUGGGCGCAAGCCGGAUGCAGCGACGCCGCGUGGGGGAUGACGGCCUUCGGGUUGUAAACUCCUUUCGCUAGGGACGAAGCUUUUUGUGACGGUACCUAGAGAAGAAGCACCGGCUAACUACGUG
rnacentral:rRNA from 1 species